AUGUGUGAUUACACGGGCCGGAAGGAUGACCCUCUGCGGCACAGCCCCAACGAUCUUCCUGAGGACGUCGUGAACGACAUGACCAAGUCUCUCUUGAAUGAGAGCUUAGCCGACUGUGGGAGGACAGGCUUAAACCCCUUCUACAAAGCUAACCCGGCUCCAGCGGCUAAUGAUAAGUUCUGGAAGGUCAAGUAUGACCAUGAGGCGGCUAAAAAAGCCAGAAAGGCUAAGAAAGCCGCCAGGAGAGCCGCUCCCCGCAAAAAGGGAACCAAGCCUACCGCCUCAGAGCUGCUUCAAUUGGAUGAUAGCUCCGAGUCAGAGGAUGAUACCGGAGUGAGUAACCCGGUGAUUGAAGAGAUUCAUGAGAGCCGGAGACAAACCCGGGCCAACAAGGAUACAGACCUCUCCUCCGGCUUACCUGAAGCGUCAAGGAAACACCGGACCGAGGAAAAUUCACCUUCCUCUGGUGACUCUAUGCAAUCUAACCUGCCGGCUUUCAAGACCGCUCCCGGUGCUCAAGCAAAGCUCAGCAAGAGGGCGAAGAAGAAUAAACCGGUCGAAGAGCCGGUCCUGACUGAACCGGAGGCUUCAGCUCAAGAGCCACCAUUUGCCUCUGCUCCUGAAGCCACCACUCCCACUGACGAGCCAGUCAUAGAGACUUCUGCUAACCCGGAGAUCCCCAGCCCAGCUCAGCCGGCCGAUGACCCGGACGUCGUAAUCACCCGGACAGAGUUUGUCGAGCCGGGGAGACCCACUGUGCUGGCCAAAUGCUCUGCCAAAGAAGAACUGCUAGAGCGCCGCAGGGCCAGACUGGAGAUCACUGACUAUGCUAACUUGAGCAUUGGAGACAUUGUUUCUGGUUACAUUGGUCAAGUGCACAACAACCGGGACUUAGAGAUUGACAUGGUAAAGCAGAUACAGCAAAAAUCUGAGGCUACCUGCAAAAAAUUCAAAGCUGAAAUCUCUGAGCUGAAGAACCGCCUGAAGACUCAGGAAACUGAGACCCGGAAGGCCAACGCCAAAUUUGAGUUCAGUGUUGCUGCACAAGAGAAGCUGAAGAAGAAGUUUGAAACCGAAAGGAAGACUUGGGCCGAGGAGAAAGCUGCUUUGGUCAGCCGGGCCGAACAGGCGGAGGCUGCUCUGAUGGAGAGAACCGCCGAACUCUCCGGCUUAAAGCGCCAUGUGUCACAGAUGGUCGCCGCAAUCUUCGGUCCCAGAAGCUCCAACCUCAAUCAGAAUGUUCUGACCAAAUUGAAAGCCGUGUACACCUUGGUGGAGCAACUCUACAUCGGGUCACAGCGUGCUUUGUCCGUUGUGGCCCUGUCCAAUGAGGUUCCGACUCACCUGACGGACGUACUUCGGCGGCUUGCCAUUCUUCCUCAGUGCUUCCAAGAGCUACGACGGGCCUCUGCAAGAGCCGGAGCCAUAGCUGCUCUGAGCCGGGCCAAGGCUUUCCUCCCGGAGCUAGAGCCGACGGAGAUCGCGCUUGGAUACCCCAGCCUGAAGGAAGACGGGACCCCCUUCGAUCAGAAAGAUUUCGCCGCUUGUGUGAAGAGCGUACGCCCGGUGGCCACCCAGAUUUGGAAUGACACCGACCUUACCAAGUAUCAGCCGGGCUACGACGCGGAAAAUCAGAGGAUCCCCACUCCACGUUAUGAAGCCAUCAGCUUGAUCCCUCCGACUCGUAAGCAUACCUUCGCCCCAGAAGUUGACCCGGCCGGGUUAAUUGAUGACGAGGCUCGAUUUGAAGCUUUGAGCGGCAUUGACUGGAAAUCAUCAACCUUGACUUUUAGGCGACUCAUGGUUACACCUUAA
rnacentral:rRNA from 1 species